UCCGGUGUGGUCUAGUGGUUAGGAUUCCUCGCUUUCACCGAGGCGGCCGGGGUUCAAUUCCCCGCACCGGAG